GGUCCCGUAGCUCAUCAGGAUAGAGCGCAAGAUUCCUAAUCUUGAGGUAACAGGUUCGAGUCCUGUCGGGAUCACCA
rnacentral:tRNA from 2 species